rnacentral:rRNA from 1 species
CAGCAGCCACGGUAAUACGAAGGGGGCUAGCGUUGUUCGGAUUAACAGGGCGUAAAGGGCGCGUAGGCGGGUUUUUAAGUCAGAGGUGAAAUCCCAAGGCUCAACCUUGGAACUGCCUUUGAUACUGGAAGUCUUGAGUCCGGGAGAGGUGAGUGGAACUGCGAGUGUAGAGGUGAAAUUCGUAGAUAUUCGCAAGAACACCAGUGGCGAAGGCGGCUCACUGGCCCGGUACUGACGCUGAGGCGCGAAAGCGUGGGGAGCAAACAGGAUUAGAUACCCCGGUAGUCCUGUCUCUUAUACA